GACGAACGCUGGCGGCGUGCUUAACACAUGCAAGUCGAACGGAAAGGCCCUGCUUUUGUGGGGUGCUCGAGUGGCGAACGGGUGAGUAACACGUGAGUAACCUGCCCUUGACUUUGGGAUAACUUCAGGAAACUGGGGCUAAUACCGGAUAGGAGCUCCUGCUGCAUGGUGGGGGUUGGAAAGUUUCGGCGGUUGGGGAUGGACUCGCGGCUUAUCAGCUUGUUGGUGGGGUAGUGGCUUACCAAGGCUUUGACGGGUAGCCGGCCUGAGAGGGGGACCGGCCACAUUGGGACUGAGAGACGGCCCAGACUCCUACGGUAGGCAGCAGUGGGGAAUAUUGCACAAUGGGCGGAAGCCUGAUGCAGCAACGCCGCGUGCGUGAUGACGGCCUUCGGGUUGUAAACCGCUUUCGCCUGUGACGAAGCGUGAGUGACGGUAAUGGGUAAAGAAGCACCGGCCAACUACGUG
rnacentral:rRNA from 1 species